UACGUAGGGACCAAGCGUUGUCCGGAAUCAUUGGGCGUAAAGAGCGUGUAGGCGGCUUGUUAAGUCUUGCGUGAAAUCUCGGGGCUCAACCCCGAGCGGUCGUGAGAAACUGGCAGGCUAGAGUGCGGGAGAGGAGAGUGGAAUUCCUGGUGUAGCGGUGAAAUGCGCAGAUAUCAGGAAGAACACCCGUGGCUAAGGCGGUUCUCUAGUACGGUACUGACGCUGAGACGCGAAAGCGUGGGGAGCGAACAGG
rnacentral:rRNA from 1 species